AUACUUCCCUGGUGCCGGGGCCUCGUUGAUCACCGAGGACGAGUUCCCAAAGCAAGGCGCGGGCAUUUCACAGCGCUCGCGUUGACCCCUGCCACUACCCCAAAGUGGAGCAGAUGGGGCAUGCAAAUUGCUUAGAUCUGGUUUAACACUAGC
rnacentral:snRNA from 1 species